CCAGAAAACAGCUGUCUGCCUCCUGUUCCUGUUUGUUUUCUCAAGUGCCUCCAACAGCAAACUUGCACCCUUCAUCUGCAGUGAUGUCAAGACAGAAUAUAACAAAACGGCAGCAAUUUCAUGCAUUGGCAGCAAGAAGAUUACAAAUGUGGUAGUUAAGCGCUGUGAUAACUGUAAUGAACAGAACUCGUGCUCAGAAAGUUUUAUUAACACGUGGAAAGGAAAGGAUUCCAGUGAAAAGGGAAGAAUUCAGUUGGUGCUACAACACAACGUUUCUGAAUUGCACAUACAGGAAGUAAAAGCAACUGAUCAAGGAGGUUAUAAAUGGUAUAUUUAUUCUGAUGCUGGGGAAGACGAUGGAUGUAUAACCCUUGAGAUUACAGCUCCAGAAAUUGAGCCUAUCCUAACUAGAAACGGAAGAAAGCUCGCCUGUCUGUCAUCUAUAGGGCAUCGAGAAAGGCAGAUCCAUUGGUUCGAUGGCCACGAGACUAACCUGACGGGCAGUGCAAGCCUGGUAUCUGAGGAAGCAGAAGGUGGUUUAACCAGCCUUACCAGCACUCUCCAUGAGAAACCCACCUUAACUGCCUCCGAGUAUUGCUGCACUGUGGUGUAUGAUGUGCACGCCAAGAGAAGCAAAACCAAGUGCAUUAGUGCCCACAAAGCAGUCGCCGAUUACCUUCAUUUUACUUCAAACCCAGAUCAGGAAAUUCUGAAGACCAUGGAAGCUCAGGAAAUUCCAAAGACCAUGGAAGAGCACAUUCCCAUCAUUCUAGUGCUCAUCGUUCUGGUUCUCUGCUGUUUUGCAGCUGUUCUAUACUACAGGCACCGCCAGCGAGCAAUGGCCAGAGGGAGUUUUGCAGACCUAUUAAGGACCCUCCUUCCAAUUUUGAGACAAUAUGAAAACGUAGAAGAAAAAUCACUUAACCAAGAAGUGUGAUGUGUGAAAAUAAGAUGGCUCCUGAAUGAAAACGAUGAUCCAACCUGCACCAAUGCAACUGAAUUUAAGCAAAGCAGUAGAUACAGAAACUCAAAGAUUUAGUACAUCAUGCUAAGCAAUUAAACAAUGUGAAGCAACUAGCAUUUUAAAGACUUUUUUUGUCAGACAUCCCCCGUUUUGCAGACAGAAACCAACAGAACUCCACUGGCCAUCACCUACAGUCCUCAGCUUAAACCUCUCCA
rnacentral:lncRNA from 1 species